rnacentral:rRNA from 1 species
CCCUUAGAUGUUCUGGGCCGCACGCGUGCUACACUGAGUGGAUCAGCGGGUCAGGUUACGCGAGAGCGUUUCCUAAUCUUCAAAUCCGCUCGUGAUGGGGAUUGACGGUUGCAAUUUUCCGUCAUGAACGAGGAAUACCUUGUAAGCGCGGGUCAUCGUCCCGCGCUGAAUACGUCCCUGCCCUUUGUACACACCGCCCGUCGCUCCUACCGAUUGAGUGGUCCGGUGAGGCUUUGGGAUCUAAGCGAAAAGAGCGUUUCGCUCCUUUUGCUGGGAGAACUCAGUCGAACCUUAUCAUUUAGAGGAAGGAGAAGUCGUAACA